GGUCUUAUAGUUAAACUGGAUAUAACAAAUCCCUCCUAAGGAUUAGUUUCUGGUUCGAACCCAGAUAAGAUCACCA
rnacentral:tRNA from 2 species